AUACGUAGGUGACAAGCGUUAUCCGGAUUUACUGGGCGUAAAGGGCGUGUAGGCGGUCUUGCAAGUCAGAAGUGAAAUUCCUGAGCUCAACUCGGGCGCUGCUUCUGAAACUGCAGGACUUGAGUGCUGGAGGGGAUAGCGGAAUUCCUAGUGGAGCGGUAAAAUGCGCAGAUAUUAGGAAGAACACCGGUGGCGAAGGCGGCUAACUGGACAGUAACUGACGCUGAGGCGCGAAAGCGUGGGGAGCAAACAGGAUUAGAUACCCUGGUAGUCCGCACAGUAAACGAUGUGCACCAGGUGGCGGGGGGUAGCCCUCGGUACCGAAGCCAACGCAUUAAGUGCACCGCCUGGGGAGUAUGCUCGCAAGGCUGAAACUCAAAGGAAUUGACGGGG
rnacentral:rRNA from 1 species